GACAGAGGUGCCAAGCGUUAGGCGGAAUCACUGGGCUUAAAGCGUGUAUAGGCGGACUUCUAAGUACCUUGUGAAAUCCCCCGGCUCAACCGGGGAACGGCUGGGUAUACUGGGAGUCUUGAGCCAGCUAGGGGUCGCCGGAACAAGUGGUGGAGCGGUGAAAUGCGUAGAUAUCACUUGGAACGCCAAUGGUGAAAACAGGCGACUGGGGCUGUGCUGACGCUGAGACACGAAAGCCAGGGGAGCGAACGGG
rnacentral:rRNA from 1 species